rnacentral:lncRNA from 1 species
AGAAAUUGAAACAUGCAAUUCCAAUAAGAGAGAAAAAUAAAAUACUUAAAUAACAGGAAUCUAGAGACCCAAAACCAUUCCAGAUAGAAAAAGUCCACGAAUAAUCCCCCAGCCAUUGUACCAGUUUUUCCCUAGGUGAUGAAAUAAAUGUAGGGGAGGACAAAAGAGCCAAGUAGCUCGUCCACACGGCCAUGGACAGCUAGGGCUUGUUUUGGAACGAGUCCGAGCCCACACGAGCAACUUCUGGUCCAUGUGCCUAAAGUUCUCGAGCCCCUUAAAAAAAAUGUGAACAAAAAGGUAAAAAGAAAACUAAUAAAAAAAUCUCAAGCUCGUGGGAGCUCGGCUCUUGCUUGAACAAGCUUGAGCUCAGCUCGCACUUUAACGAGCCGAGCCCAUCCUUAGAUAAAUGUAAAGUGAGAUUACCUAGUACCUACCCUUUAAUUCAUCCUGCCAAUCUUGAUAGCCUUGUGCACAUCCCAGUAAACUGCUAACUGACAAGCCUAAAGACCUUGGGUCCCACCUUUUGGUGCUGUACAAACAGCUUAUUCCAAAGACCUUUAACUUUGCAUACAUACAUGACAAAAGUAGGUUCUCGGUCAACAUCAGCUAGCUUCAAUUAUAGCUUCCAUGGCGCAAAAUAUAGAGGCUGAACCAUAAAUAUACCAC